rnacentral:misc_RNA from 1 species
AAAAUAUGCGGUGGAAACCACGUAUACAAUGGAAACCUAGAAACUACCGCUUGAUCGAAAAAUAGACGUUCGAGAUUCGUCCACGUCAUCACGAGUAAAAAAUUUACUCACGGAUUUAUUACUCAUAGUGACGUGAACAAAUCUCGGACGUCCAUUUUUUUAUCCAAUGGUAGUUUUCAUUACAAUGUGGUUUCCACCAU